rnacentral:misc_RNA from 1 species
UCAAACUUGGUCAUUUAGAGGAAGUAAAAGUCGUAACAAGGUUUCCGUAGGUGAGUAGUAGAUCAUUCAUCGACUUCAUUCUGUGAUCUUGUGCUAACUGUGAUUAAUAGGUGAACCUGCGGAAGGAUCAUUAAAGAGUUGGGUACCUUUUGGUACCUUCUCCCACCCAUUGUGUACCUAUUCUGUUGCUUUGACAGGUCGGUUAUACCCCCUGGUAUACCCCCGGCUUAGGUUGGAGUGUACCUGUCAGAGGUUUUAAACUCUUUUACUAUUGAAAAUCUGAGUUUACAAUCAAUUUAAAAACUUUCAACAACGGAUCUCUUGGUUCUGGCAUCGAUGAAGAACGCAGC